AACGAACGCUGGCGGCAGGCUUAACACAUGCAAGUCGAACGCCCCGCAAGGGGUGUGGCAGCCGGGUGAGUAACGCGUGGGAACAUACCCUUUCCUGCUGAAUAGCUCCGGGAAACUGGAAUUAAUACCUCAUACGCCCUACGGGGGAAAGAUUUAUCGGGGAAGGAUUGGCCCGCGUUGGAUUAGCUAGUUGGUGGGGUAAAGGCCUACCAAGGCGACGAUCCAUAGCUGGUCUGAGAGGAUGAUCAGCCACAUUGGGACUGAGACACGGCCCAAACUCCAACGGGAGGCAGCAGUGGGGAAUAUUGGACAAUGGGCGCAAGCCUGAUCCAGCCAUGCCGCGUGAGUGAUGAAGGCCUUAGGGUUGUAAAGCUCUUUCACCGAUGAAGAUAAUGACGGUAGUCGGAGAAGAAGCCCCGGCUAACUUCGUG
rnacentral:rRNA from 1 species